rnacentral:rRNA from 1 species
AUGAAGGCAUACACGCCGUCUGAGGACAAACUCCUUUGCGAGUGUUGGAGGGACAUUGGGCAAGACCCCAAGGUCGGCGCCGAACAAAAGGCAUCAACCUUUUGGCUUCGUGUUCAUCGUGAGUACUAUGAACGCAAGAAGUUUGUGUUGUAUCAAAUGCAGAGCAAGCGUGUGUGGGUGUCCCUCUCGAAGCGAUGUAGGGUGAUACAACAAGAGUGCAACAAGUUUUGUGCCACCCUUGAGACCAUCAAGGCAUGCCCCGUGAGCGGCAUCGACAUGAAAGAUAUGGUAUACAUGUGCCCCUCUUCGUAUCUGUUUCCGUUAUGCUUGCAUGUCCAUUUGCCCAUAUGCUUGCAUGCUAUUCAUUUAUAG